UACAGAGGUCUCAAGCGUUGUUCGGAUUCAUUGGGCGUAAAGGGUGCGUAGGCGGCGCGGUAAGUCGGGUGUGAAAUCUUGGAGCUUAACUCCGAAACUGCAUUCGAUACUGCCGUGCUUGAGGACUGGAGAGGAGACUGGAAUUUACGGUGUAGCGGUGAAAUGCGUAGAUAUCGUAAGGAAGACCAGUGGCGAAGGCGGGUCUCUGGACAGUUCCUGACGCUGAGGCACGAAGGCCAGGGGAGCAAACGGGAUUAGACGUACCUAG
rnacentral:rRNA from 1 species